GGACCCGCACAAGUAGUGGAGCAUGUGGUUUAAUUCGAAGAUACGCGCAGAACCUUACCAACACUUGACAUGUUCGUCGCGACUCUAAGAGAUUAGAGUUUUCGGUUCGGCCGGACGAAACACAGGUGCUGCAUGGCUGUCGUCAGCUCGUGUCGUGAGAUGUUGGGUUAAGUCCCGCAACGAGCGCAACCCUCACUUUUAGUUGCCAUCAUUAAGUUGGCACUCUGAAAGAACUGCCAGUGAUAAGCUGGAGGAAGGUGGGGAUGACGUCAAGUCCUCAUGGCCCUUACGUGUUGGGCUACACACGUGCUACAAUGGUAUCUACAACAGGAAGCAAAACCGACGAGGUU
rnacentral:rRNA from 1 species